rnacentral:rRNA from 1 species
CAUGCAGUCGAGCGGAACGAUGAUAGCUUGCUAUCAGGCGUCGAGCGGCGGACGGGUGAGUAAUACUUAGGAAUCUACCUAGUAGUGGGGGAUAGCACGGGGAAACUCGUAUUAAUACCGCAUACGACCUACGGGAGAAAGGGGGCAGUUUACUGCUCUCGCUAUUAGAUGAGCCUAAGUCGGAUUAGCUAGAUGGUGGGGUAAAGGCCUACCAUGGCGACGAUCUGUAGCUGGUCUGAGAGGAUGAUCAGCCACACCGGGACUGAGACACGGCCCGGACUCCUACGGGAGGCAGCAGUGGGGAAUAUUGGACAAUGGGGGAAACCCUGAUCCAGCCAUGCCGCGUGUGUGAAGAAGGCCUUUUGGUUGUAAAGCACUUUAAGCAGUGAAGAAGACUCCGUGGUUAAUACCCACGGACGAUGACAUUAGCUGCAGAAUAAGCACCGGCUAACUCUGUGCCAGCAGCCGCGGUAAUACAGAGGGUGCAAGCGUUAAUCGGAAUUACUGGGCGUAAAGGGAGCGUAGGUGGCUCGAUAAGUCAGAUGUGAAAUCCCCGGGCUCAACCUGGGAACUGCAUCUGAUACUGUUGAGCUAGAGUAUGUGAGAGGAAGGUAGAAUUCCAGGUGUAGCGGUGAAAUGCGUAGAGAUCUGGAGGAAUACCGAUGGCGAAGGCAGCCUUCUGGCAUAAUACUGACACUGAGGCUCGAAAGCGUGGGUA